rnacentral:misc_RNA from 1 species
AAGUCGUAACAAGGUUUCCGUAGGUGAACCUGCGGAAGGAUCAUUAUUGAAUAAACUUUUCAAGUUUUUUUCAUAUUCCCUGUUUAUAUUAAAUACGUUCCUUCCAUCGGACAGGUCUUUUAGGACCCUCUAGCUUGAGCAAAUGCUUUUGCUGGAGAGUUGCCGGUGGCGUUUCUAAAAACAAAAACUUUUAUAUUAAGAAAUGUCUGAAUAUAUAUUUAAAUUAAAUAAAACUUUCAACAACGGAUCUCUAGGCUCUU